GAGUUUGAUCGUGGCUCAGGAUGAACGCUGGCGGCGUGCCUAAUACAUGCAAGUCGAGCGAACGGACGAGAAGCUUGCUUCUCUGAUGUUAGCGGCGGACGGGUGAGUAACACGUGGAUAACCUACCUAUAAGACUGGGAUAACUUCGGGAAACCGGAGCUAAUACCGGAUAAUAUUUUGAACCGCAUGGUUCAAGAGUGAAAGACGGUCUUGCUGUCACUUAUAGAUUGGAUCCGCGCUGCAUUAGCUAGUUGGUAAGGUAACGGC
rnacentral:rRNA from 1 species